GAUACCUUUACUGAAAAACACUAAAUCUGCUUUGAAAUCGGGUGUAAGCUGGUGAGAAAAGAGCAAGGAGAGGCAUUGGAAAAAGAAAGGACCACACAAGGCAAGAACUGAAAGAAAAGUGAGCUCAGCUGUGGAAGUGAUGGAGUGUACCCUUGAGAACCAACUCGUCCAUAUGUCACCACCUAUGCAGGUUGUACGUGAUGCCAUCUUUGAUGCAAACCACUGACGGUUUAGGGUUCCCCUUGGCCAUGCAGUGGAACAUUUGUUGCAUCCCUUCUACCCAAGUAUGGUUGCUUGGACAAGUGGACUCAUCCAUUUCCGGCACAUCUGCAAUGUGCAGAGGGAACACACACAUUGGUUGAUGCUCUUCUCUCUUUGGGGAUAUUCACAUUGCCUGGAUUGAACCACUUUUUAAAAACAUGCCAGAUUGAUCAGAAGAGUAUUAUACUUCCUUCCUCCCAGAAGACCAGUAUACAGCAAUUACAGCUGGGGCAGCAAGAUUCUGUGCCACAGCAUGCAAACUGAGACGGGAGCAGUUGAUUAAUUGUAAUUAAGACCUCUGUAGGUAUAUGUUUUGAUACUCUAUUCCCAGUCCUGUUUUUGAUUUGAUUUUACUUUAUUUUUAUUUUCCUUUUUUUAAAAAUUGCUGGUCACUGACUGUAAUAAUAAAUCAUUAAAUGCAAAAAUAGCAAACUAAA